CAAUGGCAUUUUACAUCAUGUCCUGAAAGUCAUCAGUCCAUAACCACUAAGAAGUGAUGCAAAAUGCUGGUAAUCCCUGCCCAGCAAGCAAUCUGAGUCCAUGCGGAAAGCUCCUGAAAAACAACACCUGUGUAAGAAAGAAAUUCCUUCCUACAUCUUGGUUAUCAGGAGCAGAAAGCAGGCUGCAGCAGAUGAGGAUAGCUGAAAACACAAAUCAGAGUGCCUACUUCUUGAUACUCCUGCCUUAGUUUUGUCUUCUGUGGAUCUGGACUGGUAACAGCUUCCUGCCUACCGGGGAUGCUGCAAAGAUUAUUACACACUUACCAGAUUAUGAGUGAGGCCAAGUUUGGACUCUGUGAUGAUUUUCAGACGCUCAAAUGGAUUGCCCAGUAGAGGGAGCAAAGGGAGCACUGUGGACGCUGUACACUUUCAGAAGCUCGCAGAAAGUAUUCCCCCGUGCAAGCCAUCCUUAAGUGCUUCUCCCCAGUCCAGAGGGUGGGUCAGUGUGGGUUAGUGUGCCACUGAGCCAAGCAGAAACAACGACCAGGAGAAAAACGGCCUUUGGACAGCCAGGUCUUGAGUGGAUGUUACCAGUGCAGACAGACAGACAGAGCAUAAGCUGCUGGUGUCCAGGGUUUAAAAAUAU